AGAGUUUGAUCAUGGCUCAGGACGAACGCUGGCGGCGUGCUUAACACAUGCAAGUCGAACGGAAAGGCCCUUCGGGGUACUCGAGUGGCGAACGGGUGAGUAACACGUGGGUGAUCUGCCCUGCACUUUGGGAUAAGCCUGGGAAACUGGGUCUAAUACCGAAUAUGACCAUGCGCCUCCUGGUGUGUGGUGGAAAGCUUUUGCGGUGUGGGAUGGGCCCGCGGCCUAUCAGCUUGUUGGUGGGGUAAUGGCCUACCAAGGCGACGACGGGUAGCCGGCCUGAGAGGGUGACCGGCCACACUGGGACUGAGAUACGGCCCAGACUUCUACGGGAGGCAGCAGUGGGGAAUAUUGCACAAUGGGCGCAAGCCUGAUGCAGCGACGCCGCGUGAGGGAUGACGGCCUUCGGGUUGUAAACCUCUUUCAGCACAGACGAAGCGCAAGUGACGGUAUGUGCAGAAGAAGGACCGGCCAACUACGUGCCAGCAGCCGCGGUAAUACGUAGGGUCCGAGCGUUGUCCGGAAUUACUGGGCGUAAAGAGCUCGUAGGUGGUUUGUCGCGUUGUUCGUGAAAACUCACAGCUUAACUGUGGGCGUGCGGGCGAUACGGGCAGACUUGAGUACUGCAGGGGAGACUGGAAUUCCUGGUGUAGCGGUGGAAUGCGCAGAUAUCAGGAGGAACACCGGUGGCGAAGGCGGGUCUCUGGGCAGUAACUGACGCUGAGGAGCGAAAGCGUGGGGAGCGAACAGGAUUAGAUACCCUGGUAGUCC
rnacentral:rRNA from 1 species